GCGAAUUUGGCCGAGUGGUUAAGGCGUCUGACUCGAAAUCAGAUGGGAGAGAUCCCUCACAGGUUCGAAUCCUGUAGUUCGCG
rnacentral:tRNA from 1 species